CCAGAGUGGCUGUGCCUGUCGUCCCAGCUACUUGGGAGACUGAGGUGGGAGGAACGCUUGAGCCCAGGAGUUCUGGACUGUAACGUGCUAUGUUGAUCGGGUGUCCACACUAAAUUCGGCAUCAAUAUGGUGACCUCCCAGGAGUGGGGAACCACCAGUUUGCCUAAGGAGGGGUGAACCGGCCCAGGUCAGAAACAGAGGAGGUCGACACUCUAGUGCUGAUCACUAGUGGAAUCACACCUCUGAACAGCCACUGCACUCCAGCCUGGGCAACAUAGCGAGACCCCAUCUCUA
ensembl:misc_RNA Metazoa_SRP Metazoan signal recognition particle RNA